rnacentral:lncRNA from 1 species
GUUUCCGCAGCGCAGCGGCCGCGCCUGGGCGCCCCAAGCAACACAACCAGCGCUGUCAGGAGGCGAAUAGGAGCCAGGACAGAGAGCUGGGGAGGCCACUGCUGUCAGGCGAGGGAUAAGAAGGCCGUCCGCGGCGUCACUGACGGGGCUGAAGGAACACCAGGAGAAGAGUGGCAGACAGCUCCGGAGCCGCGCUGCCCGGGCGACGCCGGAAGAUGGGCCUCCCAGCGGUCUUCCUUUCAGCCAAUGGCCGCGAGAUGCGCC